rnacentral:rRNA from 1 species
UAUCGCAGCCUGCAUAACGUCUACGAUUUCUCAACGCUACUACUCACCAUGGGCUACGUCCGGGUACCGUGGGUUAGAGUCUCCGGCACUUACCGUAGAUAAGGGAGACCGCUACCUGUACUUCAGAGUUAUCUUAUGGUUCUAGGGUCCCGCCGGGCCCACCGCCGCGGGGGAGGGGGCCGUUGGGUAGGAGGGAGAGAAAGGGGGGAGGGGCGGCGGCGGUUAUCGGGGGCGGCCCGCUUCGGGCGCGCCUAGACCGCCGCCGCCCGACGGUAAAGGGCACACCGCGCAAGUGCCCGACCCCCUCGGGGCACACCGCCGCUGGCCGCACCGCACUGAGGCCGCGCGUCGCCAAGUAGGCCACCUCCGACCCCUGCCACCACACCUCCGCGAGCGACGAGAGAGGGCCACCGGACGAGGCUUAGCUGCCGCAGGGGGACAGCCACCCGCAGCCCCACUCCGACUCCCAGCUGCUCUACGCUAGGCCGCUUCCACAAGAGACACUCCGCGCGCACCACCACGAGCGGGAGGGGGAGAGACGCACUAGACGUCCGCGAGCCGCACGGACGGCCGUGCAAGGACCACCCCCGCCGCACCCGUCCGACCUAGGCCGACCUAAACCGGACGCCACCUGGCCUAGACCAGUACACACCGCCGCCCGACGUCACCUGGAACGAGACGCCACCACGUACUUCGUCUCAUAGCGCCACAUGGCCACGAGGAGCUUCCACCAGACGAGUGAACCCACUUUCGGAGACGAGGCUGGCCUCGGCCGCUACCGCCGCGGGCGCCCACAGCGAAUGGAGGAACCUCCGCAGCGACAGUUCCACUGAAAGGGAAGCUUCGAGGUCCCCUUUGGGAACAAGGACCAAGAAGGCUUUGCCCGCUACCGCCGCGUAAAAACACAGCGUUAGGAAGAAUUUCCGUAGCAAAACCACCUAAACACACCAGCGACGAAAGACGCCCAGCCUACCACCACCACCACGCUGACCGACCCCAGCUGCCACCACACCAGCCACAGCCACUCCUCCACGACGAAACGAGUACAGAAGAUCCGAACUGGUAAGUAACCUCACCAAACUAAGAAGGUAGUCUUCGGCCCAAUCGCCCCACCCUAGGAGAGACCUGGUGGAGCAAGGACAUGCUGUGGAGAGGGGAGAUGCCCCACAACAACCCACCGCUGGUCUGCUGGUUGCAAGUUCCGAGAGGAACUAACCAGUCUACUUCUACCUUCAACUCUGGAGUCCCCUUUGGGGAUCGUGUCCAGGAGGACCACGCCUACUACCGCCGCGUUGGCUGCAGCGCCGGGAACAACUUCCGUAGUAGAGCCCCAGACGAACCAACUGCACACCCACGACGACGUCCCUACAACCACCACCACCACGCUGGCCUACCCAGCUGCUACCAUACACCAGCAGACACCACCACAAACAGUCACAGCGGGGACAACGACACGUACGAGUUCUGGAGGUACCGACGGUAACACCACGCCGCUCGAAGCACGAGAACCGCAACAGGGCCAAGUAGAAACGAGUUACUACGGUGUUCAAAGGAGGGGUUGAACGAUUAGCAAAGGCUAAGAAGUACCGCCUCAAGGGGCAGUUCCAAGCACGAUCAGUGAGCAACUACACCUACGAGGAGACAACGCGUCACCACGAGCCAUGCGUGCGGUCAAACCACGCAAUCCGGCGAACAGUUCAGAACCAUAACACUGGGGAGCUACUGAGGGGAGUAGUUGAACACGGAGAACACCACUACAAGAAGCCCAACGAUCGAUCCGCACGGGACAGAACCCGCAGAAAACAAAACCAAAGAGAAGAAAAUGGGAGAGAACAAGCCAAAAGCCGGGCCAAAAGGAGUAUUUAUCCCAGAUUAACAGAACCAAAAGCUAGGUUAAAAGGAAUAUUUGGCCUAGUUAUAGAACCGAAAUUCCGGUGAAACUUUAUAUAAGUCCACCCCUCGGAAAGGGGGGGCCACUGGUAAAGUUUUUUUUUUAUCUUAUGGUUCUACUUCUCAGUAUGUCCCUUCAAAGGUUACUUAGUCUUCGUCAGUUGCUAGUACCGAUAUCAUCUAACCCUGCUGUUCUAACUAGUUUUUUUCGAAAAAAUAAACAAAGCCGAUUGAUUGAUAUAUACAUAUCCUAAAAUGGUUAUUAAUACGUUAAUCUAAAUACAAAUGACUUAGUCGAUGAUCCUCCAACGAAAUAAAGACAUUUUUUAUCUCUACGGAAAAGGACUAUACUUACACAGAGAUAGUCGAAAUGAUCUAUAUGAGCUUUAGCUGUUUCGGCGGUAGGACACUAAAAAGCAUCGUCUAAAAUUAUAGAUGUUCAAGUAGUACUGACCUUCAAAGAAUAUAGUACUAAACGUAAUCCAACUUAAACAUUUAGAUCUCCAAGUAGUCCUAGUCCCGUGAAGGGAUCCGUGUAACAUCGAAGCUAGUCCCUUCAUGUAAUUUUGGUUCUACGGAAGGCGUCGGAGUCGAUGUCACGCUUCUGUACAAAGAAACCCACGUAGCGUGAAGACUACAUUUUUUGAGAACGAAACGCUGGACAAGUAACAAAAAUGAAGAUCGUAUGUAAAAGGAAGGUUGGUCAAAAAAAGUACAUGUUACUGAGGAGCUGAUUGCUUGAGUGUAACACCGUUAAAAAGCUACCACUAUAACGCACCGAUUACGAAGACUAACUUGGCGAUAUAUGGAAGGAGAAGCGAGACUAUCUGCCCUGAAAUACGUGUCGUUUACGUGAUAAUAGAACGGGGAUUAUGACAUUAAUGUAUGAUAUAAAAGAUCGCUUAUUCUUACAGUAUAAUAAAGUCAAUAUAGUAGAUUAAUGAAAAAGAUACUUGUGAGGUCAUUAAACAAUAGAGUCACCCGUGUGAAAUAUCAAGAACCGGUACAAUUAUUAAGGCACGUAACAAAUUAAGCGGAUGUAAGUAUGUAAUAACAAAGCCUACGGUUUCACCUUAAGUCCAAUCAUAAAAAAUAGUAGGAUAAAUCAGUUUAAAACCAGUCCAUAAGAUAGUACGUUGAUAUGUAUAAUGAUCCAUGUUUGACAACGAGAAAACGUUCGAGAGAGUUGACGAGUUUUAACCCCUAUCAACCAGUUGAUCAUAAAAUAAACGGUUAAAUGGUAAAACAAAAACAAGUUUUAUGCAACCUCACGAUGAAACUAACCUACCCUUAGUUUCGCGUGUUCCUCGGAUGUGUUAAUCCUAUUAAGGAUACGUUACGCUUAAUUAAUACUCUUGAUUACCUUGAUUACUCCACCAUUACUGAUUUCAAACACUACCACGUUACACAAUCUACCUCAAAGUUCGUGUGUUUGUUGACGUUCACAGAGGAUCCUACAAUCUCAACAAAGGAAGAGUGAAGCGUGUUUAUUGUAGUUUGUAUCGAAUACAAACUAUUUGAUUAAUUACUGUAUAAAAAAGACCUAUUUUAGGUUAAAAUAACGAAUUAACAGCGAAGGUAAAAGAAACAUUAUUAUACUUGAGCCUUGGUAGAUAUAACAAAUUUUACCUUUUUUUUAUAAUGUGAUGGUCAUGUAGAACUGUACUCCAAAAGUGACAAAAGUAUGAUCCUAUAAGACAAACGGAUAAAAUUCCGUAUCCAGAGGGACAAAAUUUAAAAACAAAGUUUUUAAUGUUAUAUAGUAACAAAAUUUAACGAAAGAACUGGAGUAACCCUCAGACCCUCUACUAUAGGAGCCGACGAAUUCGGAAUCAUGAAUCACGAUAUUUAAUAGUCUACUUUAGGAACUGACGAAAGCAGCACUUUACUUAAGGGUCAAGAUGUUUUUCCACUUUUUUGUCUUACAUUUAAUGUUUUAAGGUGCCCUUUUCCCUACAUGUAUACAGUGGAUUUCAACAAACUUAUCAACCUACCAACAACGCUCAAUUCAUUAUCUAUAAACAAAUGCGUAAGGUCGCAGUCUGUACAUUCGUAAAAAUUAUUACGCUGAAGUAGUUACUAAGAAGAAUACCUCAAUAAAACUUUAAUUAAGUUUUUUAUCUUAGGUUACUAUUUAAUAAAAGAAUUUCAUAGAAUGUUCAAUUCUUAGAGUAUAUUUAGUACGUACGCAUCAUUUAUGUUCCGUUGUGUUUACCGUUCUUAUUAAUACAAUACGUUUUAGAGUUUCUGUUCGGGUACGCCUACGUUCCCAACUGCUGAUCAUGAGAGAUUUCAUGAUUUUGACUGCUGAUGUAAGGACGUAUAAAUCUAUAUAUUUUGAUUGAUGAUUUCAUAAUUUUGACUGCCAAGAUUAGGUUUGACCUUCAUAACGGAUGUCUUUAAGUCUUGGAACCAUCCACAACUACUAAGUCUGGAAUCAAUGAAGCCUGAAGUCUUAACGUAAACACGUCGAUAAGAGAUCCUCUUCAGCACGUUAUGUUUGUAUAAUUAUUCCAAGAAGAACUUAUGCGUUGUUUGUUGAUGCAGUCUGUUUCUAGACCUCAUGGACGAGUAUAGACCACUCGCCCAUCAGAGAACGGGGUUUGCGGGUUCGAGGACCACUAUAGGAUGAGGUGAGCCAAAGAAGAAGAAGGUACGGAUGUGUCGAGAUCGAAAAAAAAUCAAAUCGGGCAGAUUUAAAGAUAGUAUAUUUUAGAAUACUUUGUUACACGAUGAUAAGAAUAAUAACUUGAUACAGUUAGACAAAAAAAAAUUCACCCCCUCACUACUUAGCUUGUUCCUCCUUCCGGCUGCACAAACAAGAAGUUGGUAAAGGGUGACUUUGGGACUUUUAACCCCCCUUAGUACCGACCUCGUAUACACUUGAACCGGAGGCCAGUAACUCAGUCCAAAGAUCAAAACGAACCCUCUCAUCGUACACGAAGGGUAAACAAAUUAAUUUAUUAACCAUAGAUUAAGUACACUUGGUCUAGCACGAACCCUCUCAUCGUACACAAACUAAAUCAAUGUAUGUAUCUGGAAAACUUGUAAACCGAACCGACAAACCUAGACGAAAAUACGUCCCUCUGACAUAAGGUUGGUAUUUUGACUAUGUUGCCGGUGUGAUUAUACUGGCGACAUGAAAGUUUAGCUGGUAGACUAAUAAGUCCUCUAUACAUAGUUUCCUGGAGAUACAAGGGAUAGUACACAUAAAUUGUUCAUUUAUAAGUCGAUAAGAGCUAAAUAGAACGAUUACUGGUAAACAUGGAAAAGUAAAUAAAAACGAAUAGGUAAACAAAACAUAUUAUAUACGUACAACAUCUUAUUACUACUCGACUUUUAACUGUGGUAAGUGUCUCGAUCUGCUUCGAAUACUUACAUCGUACCCUUGUGUAUCAACUGAAUUUAAUUAUAACACGAACGAAUAUACUUGGUAAAUAAGUGUUCCUAAUAGAACACCACACAUCCGUCACGCUGACAUACAAUGUUCCAACAUAGUAAACAUGUUGUGUGUAUUACUAUAUUCGAGCACCACAAUCAUGAUCUGUAAGAAAACAAUAAAAAUGAAUUAAGGAACCCAUAUGAUAUGACGUAAAACAGAGG